GAUUACAGUGAAAUGUCAGUAGCUUAUAGGCCUUCUCAUGCGGAUGCAACUUAUGACAUGAAGUAUGGUGUCAGAUCUGUCCAGGGUGGGGGUAGAUCUUCAGCAAGAGAGACUAUUGGAAGAGUUGCAUCGGGAGCUAUUGCAAAGAAAAUUCUCAGGCAAUUUUCUGGAACUGAGAUUCUUGCUUAUGUCUCCCAAGUUCACCAGGUGGUACUUCCAGAGGACCAGAUUGAUCACCAGUCUCUGACAAUUGAUCAGGUAUAAGCUGCUGUUACUUUUUAGGUUUUUAUAGUGGGUUUCCCAAAUAAAGAAUUGUUAAGCAAUUGGUCUUUUGGCUUGCUGACUUUGUAAGAGGUUGUGGCUAUUUUGAAGUUCCAGUGAUUUAACAAACCAAGCACACGCAUUUCAUUUCCUUGUGUAUGGAAGAACCCUACUGAACAAUGUCUCUUAUAAUUGAGAACCUGGAUUUGCCACCUGAUUGACACUCUUAUCCCCGUAAAUCUAUUUUAGGUUGUCUCUUCUACUAAUGCUUUAAAGAUAGACUGACACCAAGGAUAUUUAAAUCUAGAAAGUCUAGUUCCCUCUUGGUGGAAAUUCUUCCUAAUAUGUUCAUUUAUCAGCUGGUUAUAGUACUAUAAUAGGAUCGAACUUUCAUUGUACUUGGAAGAGGACAUCAUAAGAAUGAUAAUACGUGUGCUGGAAAGCUACUAAGAAACUGAGCCUUUGAGUUCCAAAUGAGUUGGCUGAUCAAUAUAAUUGAUGACCUAAAUGAAAGGCACUUGUGCUUUUGUUUGUGAGUUUAAGAAUGCAUUUACAUGGAGAUGUGUAUAUUUUAGAAGAUGCCUGAAGCCAAUAAUAUUACACCUGUAACCAGAUCUUUGUUAUGCCCCAUGCAGCUGCCUGAUGGCCUGAAUUUCUUUAACACAAAUUGUCAUAGCAUGGUGACCUGUGAUGUUGGUGCUUUUUUUCCCCCUUGUGUAAAUGUAAUGUUUGACUUUACAAGUUAGAUAUUCUUCUCUUUCCUCUCUUUAAAAUCUUAGAUUUUGAUGUCUUGGUGAAUGUUGUUAUUUUGAGAACUUUUUGUUCAUCUUAGAUUUAAACAAUUUAUAUACACGUCAAGUUGUGUUAUAUCGUGGCAGUCUCAUCACUGUCUUUGUAGUCUUCAUUUUUCAGGUCUUGGGGACUGCUUAUUAUUACUGGCAUUUCUCAUUUUUGUCCUUUAAUUCAUGCCAAAUUGGUUCCUGAAAAAAGUGUGGACUUAGUUAUCUGAAGUGUAUUUUGAAUGGCUCUCUGCUCAUGAAUAGCCAUUAGCCUGACUAUGCAUUGCAUGAAAACCUUAACAGAUAGAGAGCAACAUCGUCAGGUGUCCAGAUCCUGAAUAUGCAGAGAAGAUGAUUGCUGCCAUUGACACUGUCCGAGUAAGAGGGGAUUCUGUUGGUGGAGUGGUCACAUGCAUUGUGAGGAAUGCCCCACGUGGGCUUGGUUCACCAGUCUUUGACAAACUUGAAGCUGAGCUGGCUAAAGCUGCCUUGUCACUACCUGCAACAAAGGGCUUUGAAUUUGGCAGUGGGUUUGCAGGCACUUUUUUGACUGGCAGUGAACAUAAUGAUGAAUUUUACGUGGAUGAACAUGGAAAAAUCAGGACAAGAACAAAUCGUUCUGGUGGUAUACAGGGAGGAAUAUCCAAUGGUGAAACUAUAAACAUAAGAAUAGCUUUCAAGCCAACAUCUACAAUAGGAAGGAAACAACAUACGGUGACUAGAGAUAAGAAGGAGACAGAAUUAAUUGCCCGUGGUCGCCAUGAUCCUUGUGUUGUCCCACGAGCGGUGCCUAUGGUAGAAGCCAUGGUGGCUCUGGUUCUCAUGGACCAAUUAAUGGCACAAUAUGCUCAAUGUUAUAUGUUUCCCGUGAAUCCAGAGCUACAAGAACCGAUCAAGUUGCCGCCAAGUAUUGAGGCAACCAACAUGUCCAUUUGAAAGGCAACAAAAGUUGUAACAAUUUUUCAUUCUGGAUUUAGCUUUCCUUAAAGAUUGUUAUAAAUUUUCCAAUGAGAGUGAGACACUUCCAUAGUCAUGGCAUUACAAGUUUGAGGCCUUAAUUACCCCUUUUGAAUUCUAGCGUUUCUGCUUCGUUGUAAUUUCUCAAAUUGCGGGGUUAAUGUUUGUUUUACCUUUUGUUGCAAUGUAAACAGAUACCAACUAUUUAUUUACAAAUAAAACCUGUCCAAGCAUAAAGCUUGUGGACUUGUUAUCUACUCAACUGUUCUCAAAUUAGUGGCAGAAGGAACCCCAAUUUCCUGAUAGUUUCGUCUUUUCUUCUGGCAGAUAAAAGAUGGUUCCCCUAGCUUAGACCUGGCCAAGGGUUGAUUCGGGGCUGAAACAGUUGGCUUGGAUCGGUUUUG
rnacentral:misc_RNA from 1 species